AAUAAAUGUAGUUUUGCACUUCAUGUCCAACAUUUAACCGUUCAUCUUAUAUAUUUUUUUUAUGAUUAGUAUUUUUAUUGUUAUUAGAUGAUAAAACAUGAAUAAUACUUUAUGUGUGACUAUUUUUAUUAGUUUUUUUCAUAAAUUUUUCAAAUAAGAUAGACAGUCAAACAUUGGACACGAAUAACCACGGUUGUACUUAUU
rfam:Oryza glumipatula chromosome 12, whole genome shotgun sequence.